rnacentral:lncRNA from 1 species
GAUCGAGCCGACCCAGCUGGACGAGCACGAUGGAUUUUGGGCACACCACCUUGGAACUCCGGACCGGAGGGCUGCCCAUGCCCACCCCAUCAGUGCUGGAGCUUGAAAGAAAUCUUUGGAGGGGCGAAGCUGUAAAAAAAACGAAAUCAUACAAAUACAACAAGUUAGAUAUUGCAAAUAUCAAGAAACUUAGAUAAUUAUAUCGAUCUUCUUCACAUUAGCUUACAAAAUCUAUUACUAAUCAGUACAGAAUUCGGUUCACUACAACUGAGCUCUUCAUUUUUUUGCACCCCUAAAGUCCUAUUUAACCACGGGCAGAAUUCGGUUCGCUGUAAAGGGCAUUUUCUAUUUCAGUACAAAAUCCAUGACCAGAUGACCUAAUUAGAAUUCUCCUCAACUAAGGUGAUUUUUUUUCUUUCGUGGAAUCAAAAUAUUUGAACUUUCCACAAUUUCCAUAGGGGAGAGAUUGAGAUAGAUCCAGCGAGGGCAGUCUGCUCACCGGCUCACUGAGGCACCGCGCGGCGUCGACGUUGUCUGGUGUUGUUCGCGGCGGAGGCAGGAGCCGAAGAGCGGAUGUUCCGGCGAGUCCAAUCCGGCCGGCCACCAGCCGGCGGUCGCCCCCCACGGCGGCAAGCCACAGCGGCCAACAGGCCGGACGCCGGCGCCCCACCCCCACGCUCAGGGGUCUGCCGUCGCAACUCGCAGGUCAAAGAAGAUUGAGUUGGUUGCUG